AUUGAACGCUGGCGGCGUGCCUAACACAUGCAAGUCGAGCGGCAGCGCGGGGGCAACCCUGGCGGCGAGCGGCGGACGGGUGAGCAAUAUUUGGGAAUCUGCCUAUUAGUGGGGGACAACCCGGGGAAACGCGGGCUAAUACCGCAUACGCACUACGGGGGAAAGCCGGGGACCGCAAGGCCUGGCCCUAAUAGAAGAGCCCAAGUCGGAUUAGCUAGUUGGUGAGGUAAUGGCUCACCAAGGCUACGAUCCGUAGCUGGUCUGAGAGGACGACCAGCCACACCGGAACUGAGACACGGUCCGGACUCCUACGGGAGGCAGCAGUGGGGAAUAUUGGACAAUGGGCGAAAGCCUGAUCCAGCGACGCCGCGUGGGUGAAGAAGGCCUGCGGGUUGUAAAGCCCUUUCGGUGGGGAAGAAAAGCCUCGACCUAACACGUCGGGGUCUUGACGUAACCCAUAAAAGAAGCACCGGCUAACUCUGUGCCAGCCGCCGCCGUAACAC
rnacentral:rRNA from 1 species